AACGAACGCUGGCGGCAUGCCUAACCCAUGCAAGUCGAACGAAGCCUUCGGGCUUAGUGGCGCACGGGUGCGUAACGCGUGGGAAUCUGCCCCUUGCUUCGGAAUAACAGUUAGAAAUGACUGCUAAUACCGGAUGAAGUCUUCGGACCAAAGUUUUAUCGGCAAGGGAUGAGCCCGCGUAGGAUUAGGUAGUUGGUGGGGGAAAGGCCUACCAAGCCGACGUUCCCUAGCUGGUCUGAGAGGAUGAUCAGCCACACUGGGACUGAGACACGGCCCAGACUCCUACGGGAGGCAGCAGUGGGGAAUAUUGGACAAUGGACGCAAGUCUGAUCCAGCAAUGCCGCGUGAGUGAUGAAGGCCUUAGAGUUGUAAAGCUCUUUUACCAGGGAUGAUAAUGACAGUACCUGGAGAAUAAGCUCCGGCUAACUCCGUG
rnacentral:rRNA from 1 species